AAUGGUCCCUGUAAACGUGUCAGCUGCGUGGUGUGUCCAUUUUAAUUUCGGCUCCCAUGUUAACAGGUUAGGGCUCACACACCGCCUGCGUAACGGGCACGUCUCAGGCGCGGCUCGAGCCACGCCGAAAACGA